ensembl:lncRNA
UAACACACAGCUCAGAUGUGAACUACAGUAGAUAUCAGACAUGCUAAAACCUGAGUUUUGCAAAAAAAAAAACUACUGCAGCAUGAGAUCAGACACAGAAUCUUACCACAGCAGGAAAACAGGGCAGACAAAUACAACACAGUGAUUUGAAAUGAACUGAUAGUAAUAAAUAUUAAUCUUUCAUAUUGUUGUUGGUGGUGGUGGUGGUUGUAGUGCAGUACAUAACUUUCUAAAUUAUCUCUUAUGUUUUAUUAUUUGAUUUUGUAUUUCACAGCUUCAGUAUUAAAGCCAGUCAUAAGAAAUCAAGCUGAAAAGCGCUCAGUGAGUCUCAGAGAGUCGUGCUCUCCUCUGUGCUCUGUGGAGAACGGGAAGGAUGUGAGUUUGUCCUGGUAUGAAGAGAAAGAGAGAAUCUCCAGCAUCAGCAGCUCAGAUUCCAGUGAACGUCUUUAUCUUCCUCUGAAUAAGACCAACCCAAACAACUCUACUUACACCUGUGUAGCUGCUAAUCCAGUCAGCGCUCAGACAGCCCAGCUCAACAUUACAAACAUCUGCAUUAAGUCAGUCUCAGGUCAGAAGGUUAAGAGAGAUCUCUCCAAAUCACUGGCUGCUGUUCUGACACCUGCUGGACUGAUUGCUGCUCUAUCAAUAUUAAGUGUGUGGUUCUGGAAAAAGAAGUCAAAUCAACAAGUUUAUCAGUAUGUUAAGCUGAGUUAUGCUGAAGUGAAAGGCACGUCUCAGUAUUCAGAUGAGGAUCAUAAGAAAGUUGGUGUUGGAGUGGCAGAAGACCAGCGCACAUUGGUGGUGUAUUCAACUAAAAGGAUGUAACUCUGUAUUUUACCAUUAGUUUAUCUAAUGACUCGUUUCUUUAGAUGCUUUGUGUUGAUUCCUUUGUUCAGUAACUUUUAACAGUGAACUGUUGCUUAGAACAUUUACUCCAUUUCUGUACUGCUGUAUCCAUUUUGUGUUUCUGAAUGUAGUGAAGACUUUGUGAUGCUGUAAAUGAAAGUAAAUGUAAGACCUCUGUCCAACAUGUGUUUGUGUAAAGAUGUGUUCAUUCUGCUUUUACUGAUGUAGGUACUGUAAGAGGUGAAACUGUAGAAGAACCUGCAAAAAGUCGUGAUUGGAGAUUUAUCUACUUAGACUUAUUGGGAACUCUCUUAACUCAAGCACUGACGUCUGCACAUCUUUAUUAUUUCCUUACACCAGCGACGUUAAAGUCAGUUACGACAGACAAAAUCAUGAAAAUAAACAGUGACAUUGAGAACCACUCAGACCUUCUGU